rnacentral:rRNA from 1 species
AUUGAACGCUGGCGGCAGGCCUAACACAUGCAAGUCGAACGAGUGGCGGACGGGUGAGUAAUGUCUGGGACACUGCCUGAUGGAGGGGGAUAACUACUGGAAACGGUAGCUAAUACCGCAUACCAUCAGAUGUGCCCCGAUGGGAUUAGCUAGUUGGUGGGGUAACGGCUCACCAAGGCGACGAUCCCUAGCUGGUCUGAGAGGAUGACCAGCAACACUGGAACUGAGACACGGGCCAGACGCCUACGGGAGGCAGCAGUGGGGAAGAUUGCACAAUGGUCGCAAGCCUGAUGCAGCCAUGCCGCGUGUAUGAAGAAGGCCUUCGGGUUGUAAAGCACUUUCAGCGAGGAGGCGUUACCCGCAGAAGAAGCACCGGCUAACUCCGUGCCAGCAGCCGCGGUAAUAC